AUCCUUUUGUAGUUCAUAAUUGUGAUGACUGGGUGUGUGAGAUGCAUUUCCCUCAAACUUUGUUACCCCACACUUUACCAGUCAGCCA
ensembl:snoRNA